rnacentral:rRNA from 1 species
GUGAGGAAUAUUGGUCAAUGGGCGGGAGCCUGAACCAGCCAAAUCGCGUGAAGGAAGAAGGAUCUAUGGUUCGUAAACUUCUUUUGCAGGGGAAUAAAGUGCAGGACGUGUCCUGUUUUGUAUGUACCCUGAGAAUAAGGAUCGGCUAACUCCGUGCCAGCAGCCGCGGUAAUACGGAGGAUCCGAGCGUUAUCCGGAUUUAUUGGGUUUAAAGGGUGCGUAGGUGGUUUGAUAAGUCCGCGGGGAAAGUUUGCAGGUUAACUGUAAAAAUGCCGUUGAAACUGUCGGACUUGAGUGUAAAUGAGGUAGGCGGAAUGCGUGGUGAAGCGGUGAAAUGCAUAGAUAUCACGCAGAACUCCGAUUGCGAAGGCAGCUUACUAAGCUACAACUGACACUGAAGCACGAAAGCAUGGGGAGCAAACAGGAUUAGAUACCCUAGUAGUCC